GGAAAGGAAAGGGGUCAAUGGGACAUGUAGAAGGAGGGAUGCUAGUCACACAUUGUGGGGAAGGGACCAGUGGAAAGAACUGAGAGGCCAGGGGAGAAACUUGGGAUGAAUUUGAACUCCACAGAAGGUCUGCUUGACGCCUGCUUUGGAAUUCUUUUCCCUAGAUGAGGUUGAUAAAGCUCAGAUCCCUGCUCAUCUUCCCAUAGGGCCGGCCUCGUCAGACUGAGGUUUCUGUGCCUACUGACAGAGGUGGGCGGCUGCGACUGGUGAACCCGCUUUCACACUGAGGGUCCAGAGUGGAAGGAGAUGCCCCUAGAUGAUAGACUUCUGUAGAAUCCGUAUCCUCAGAUCUCCUGCCUGCACCUUCUUCACCUGCUGUUCAGAAUCCCCAAGCAGGGCAUAAGUUCUGUCCCUGUCUUGUGCCUGUUAGUUUCCAUCCAUAUCCUCAGCACAGGAUUCAGACAUCAGCAUGAAUCGUAUCCUGUUAACCUUGCUGAUGGUGACUGGUGGUGUUUCAUUUGUUAGUGAAGACAUAGAAGGGUUAAAUCACCUUCUCUACUUAUUUUACCUGAAUUCCAGUUAUCGGUCCUGUGUGGGGACUCUGAUUGCCCCUCAGUGGGUGUUGACGGCUGCACAUUGCUUCUUACCAGAUCUUUGGGUCAUCUUUCAUGAUAGUUCUGCAAAUCUUCGAGACUUUCAUGGGGAGAUUUUACCUUAUGAGAAGAUCAUUAUUCACCCAAACUUCACUGCCACCUCUCCUAAAAAUGACCUCAUGCUGAUAAAGUUGUCUGUACCUUUCACUUUCUUCUCCACCAAUAUGUUUCAGUUGCCUACUCUCAAGAAUGCAGUUAAAGAUUGCUUGAUUCACACCUGGUUACAGACUAAAGACUUUAUUGGAAAUUCACAUAGUAAGCUGCAAAGUGUCACGGCUCAAUUGAACUUUAAUGUAAACUGCAAAAAAAUACUGGGUGAAAAACUCCUUGAAGACAUGUUCUGUAUGGGACCCACGCUAGGAAGUCAGGAUCACUGCCAGGUCUUCUUACUUGGUGUGCUUCUAAGUUUUGAUGGGGCAGAUUUUCCAGCAUCCCUCUAACAGAGAACUCAUAAAAGGAGCACCUGCUCAUUUAUAUGAAUACAUUUCUCUAACUGGAAGAUAUUUGACUCAGGAGCAGCUCAAUGUGCUUACCCCAUUGAUCAAUCUCUCCAUUAAGGUACUUCAGUACUUUUCUGGUAGCACAUCUCAGGGCUUAAAAACUCUCCCAUUCUUUGUUUUAGUGGAGUUGAAUUCAGGCUGAGUUCUGGCCCCCCUCUCCUAUUGCAGUAACCUUGAAUAAAGUCUUCUAGGCCUGUUUAA